AACGAACGCUGGCGGCAGGCUUAACACAUGCAAGUCGAACGCAUCCUUCGGGGUGAGUGGCAGACGGGUGAGUAACGCGUGGGAACGUGCCCUUCAGUUCGGGAUAACCCAGGGAAACUUGGGCUAAUACCGGAUACGUGCGAGAGCAGAAAGAUUUAUCGCUGAAGGAUCGGCCCGCGUCUGAUUAGCUGGUUGGUGGGGUAAUGGCCAACAAAGGCGACGGUCAGUAGCUGGUCUGAGAGUAUGAUCAGCCACAUUGGGACUGAGACACGGCCCAAACUCCUACGGGAGGCAGCAGUGGGGAAUAUUGGACAAUGGGCGCAAGCCUGAUCCAGCCAUGCCGCGUGAGUGAUGAAGGCCUUAGGGUUGUAAAGCUCUUUCGUCCGGGACGAUAAUGACGGUACCGGAAGAAGAAGCCCCGGCUAACUUCGUGCCAGCCGCCGCCGUAA
rnacentral:rRNA from 1 species